AUGUCAUGUUAUGGCCUCGUUCCAGGCUGACUACAAUGCAGUAGCCAGAUCUCACAAAACCUGGAUAGAUGUUAAACAUAUCGACUUACUGCAUGAGAUAAUCUAGCAAUAUAAAAGACAUGGUUACAAUCAAUCAAUCAGACAUUUAGGUCUAUCUGAGGGUUGACUUGUUGCAUAUAGCGUUUGUAGUGUUUGCAUGUGUAAGCUGACAGGUUUCAAACCUGGGUCAAAUAGAGACCUCAAUAUUGUAUUAGUCCACGAGUCACACGCAUGCACACACCCUUAGCCCAGCUGACACGGCUCCUCAUCAACAAGCGAGCCAAUUGAGGCCAACAUGACGUGGAGCCCUCCUCCCUCCUCUUCCCUGCUCUCCGCAGUAAAACAAUUAAGCUGUUUACUGGGUGAGGGAUAUCCGUCGAGCUACCCCGCAAAUUGGUCUCCAGUGAGGGGCCCAUUCCCCGGCAGUGCGGCCGGACAGCUGGAGGUGCUGGCGGAAGCCGAUGGACCAUCUGGAAAACGUAGCCGGAUCCCAAGGCUGACGACGAGUGAUGUAAGCAGUUCCCUCUCUUCUGCAGUGAUGUAAGCAGUUCCCUCUCUUCUGCAGUGAUGUAAGCAGUUCCCUCUCUUCUGCAGUGAUGUAAGCAGUUCCCUCUCUUCUGCAGUGAUGUAAGCAGUUCCCUCUCUUCUGCAGUGAUGUAAGCAGUUCCCUCUCUUCUGCAGUGAUGUAAGCGGUUCCCUCUCUUCUGCAGUGAUGUAAGCAGUUCCCUCUCUUCUGCAGUGAUGUAAGCAGUUCCCUCUCUUCUGCAGUGAUGUAAGCAGUUCCCUCUCUUCUGCAGUGAUGUAAGCAGUUCCCUCUCUUCUGCAGUGAUGUAAGCAGUUCCCUCUCUUCUGCAGUGAUGUAAGCAGUUCCCUCUCUUCUGCAGUGAUAGUUCAUCUACUUUAUACCAAUGGAUCUGUCGAGUGCUGGAGAUUUCAAGUUGAAGAUUCUUAGGCUGAGUCAUCGUUUCCACAUGUACAAUCAAGAGUUGACAACGGUACUGGUACUGUCACGUCAGUAUGAUACAGCGAGGACAGUGCUGAUCUUUCUUGACGCCAAGGCUGCCCGACCAUCCGCGGAUGUGGAGACCUUCAGAUGACAUGACAGGCGCUUAGCACGGCCUGCCUGCCAAAUCCUGCAUCAGUCAGAGAUCUGACUAGGAGCACAACACCCACACGAGUUGUCCUCAUCCACACAUCCAAUUACUCAAACUGAGAUGGCACAGCACCAUCAUCAAUGUGUUGAAUGAAAGUGAUAUGAAAUCAGCAAUUUGCCCAAAUGUUGAUCUCUUUCUUUCUCACAACAGGCAGGGGCAUGAGAAGUUGAAAAUGUUUAAGCUGCAAAGCUCCUACCACACCAUGUCAGAUUGAAGAUAAUUCAGAACAAGUAAAGACCAACUGUUGAAGAGCCUGCAGCUAUAAAGUGUGUUGCCAGUGCAUGUAACUGAAUGCAGAUAGUCUGUCAGAUGCUCAUUUCCCUCAUCGUCAAUUCAAGUCAAGAGAGUAUUGCAAGAGCUAAUGCUUCAUUCCUGUCAAGCCCUCUUAUUAAAUCAGCAGCUCACACAUUUUACAUUGACAUUUUAGUCAUUUAGCAGACACUCUUAUCCAGAGUGACUUACAGUGGCAAUUAGGGUUAAGUGUCUUGCUCAAGAGCUCAUCGGCAGAUUUUUAAGAAAUUUGGCUCAGAGAUUCCAGCCAGUAACCUUUCGUUUACCGUCCCAGUGCUGAGACGAGUCUUAUUCAAGUUCAUCAACUCUUUUAGUGCCUUCAGGCGCAAUUAUGAGAAACAAAACUGGUGCUGAGAGAAGAGACACACUUGAGUUAGGCUACUACAGGAUACUUCUUACGUAAUUGACCCUAAGCCCCGCCCCCCCUUGGUUACUGUUGCAACCUCGGACAACAAUUUCCCGGGAAACCCGAUUCCACCUUCGAAAUCCCUUCACAAUGAUCUCAAACAAUGUUUCUAAUACACAAUGAAAUUAAACACAGACGACCCCUCGGGGAACUCUCGGGUAUGUUGUGGUGAACGGUCAUUACAAUUGCUUCACAGGAACCUGGUAAAAUGAUGUUUAUAGUGUAGCUAGCCACUGUGAAUGGCUCGGAAUCAUCACUGUCAGCAUGGAGUCAAAGCUACUAACCACUCUUGGAGUUAAGGAUUACUCUCAGAACACAUACUGUUGUCAACAGCUUAUGGGGUUUGUAAUAAGAACAUGGCUAACAGCUAGCUAACAGACAUUUCUAGAAAACAAGUUAUAUUCAUUAAGGCUAGCUGCAUAGUGUUAGCAACAUUUGGUGGUUAAUGAGACUAAGAGCUAGCUAACCAGCUGAGCUAGCAAACAAUGUAACAAAAAUAUAAUUACAGAUUCAAAAUAUAUUCCAUCAACAGGCUCUGCCUUUCAGGGAUUACAUUAGCAGGUACCCCAGGUGUACUGUUCAAUUAUUUAAAGCUACAAUAUGUAACUUUUUGGGCAUAGAAAAGUGAGAUAUAGGUCUUUCAUUCCCGUUGAAAGCAGGUUUAAGAAGGGGUAGAUGUGUGCUAUUUCUAUGCUUCCCAUUAUUAAGUUUUGUUUGUGCAUCUUUUACUUUGGGUUUUGUACACCAGCUUCAAACAGCUGAAUAUACAAUAUUUUGGGUUGUAGAAAUUAUAUUAUACAGUGGUUUAGAUGGUACAAUGAUUCUCUACACAAUAACUGCUUGUUUUGGCACAUAAAAUAAAUUUAGGCCAACUAUUAGAAUUUUAGCAACCAGGAAAUGGCCGACGAAUUUCUGCAUAGUGCAUCUUUAACAAUUUAAACAAUGUAUAUAUAUAUUUUAAAAAAUGACCACUGCCCUCAUUGGCUUUCAUGUGUUUCACACAUGAGCUUGUCCAAGGUGUCGGACUCAACCACAGUUUCUAGCCAUUGGAGCGCUACGAUUGAUUCCUCAAAAUUCUGGGGAGGAGUUUGGCAAAGGAUACAUUUUACAGAGAAUAUGCGAUCAAAGUUUUCAUUGAUGGGAUUAUUGUUGAAGAUAGCAUAAAAUAGAAAAGCUUUGCAAAAUGUUUUACCACAGAAUGUUUUACUGAAGCAUGAUAGAAAUGAUUAUUUUCUGAAAAGAGUAAAAUUCUUUGCCACUAAUCUCAAAUAAUCAAAUAAUCCCACAAAUCAAAUAAUUUUAAAAAUAAGCAUAGCAAACUGUAUUGCAUGUGUGAAGAACUAACAUAGAAUCACACAUAUCCAUAAGUCACGUCGAGGUUGGAUCAGCCUUUUGCAAGCUCGACACACACACACACACACACACACACACACACACACACACACACACACACACACACACACACACACACACACACACACACACACACACACACACACACACACAAACAAAUACAUACACACACACACACACACACACACACAAGCACACACACACACACACACACACACACACACACACACACACACAACCAAAUACACACAGACAUACACUAAUUCAUUUGGGAGAAACCACAGCAAAUAAACCGCAGCAAAGACUUGACAUAAUGUUAUAAGCAGCCUCAGAAAACACUCCUACUACUCAGAGGGGGCAACUGUGCACUCCGUUCAAGAGGAACUGCAUGUUUUACCAGGCAUUUAUGGGUCCAAGUGAGAAUCCUUGUGGGACGUGGGGGUGGAAGGUGCGGGCCACUGGAGUGGCAGUCUGCCUAGGUUAGGUGUGUUUUAAAUAGCGAGACAGCGAAGUUACAAGUCUGGUACUGGCGAGGAAGUUGCGUUACACGGCAUUAAAAAGCCUUGCCAAUCAUUACUGUAUCAAAAAGGCAUUGGACUUUUCAACCCUUGUUUCUCUUAUUUUUAUACCAGUAGCCAACAUCUUCAAUAACUUCCACAAGUUUUUAAGAUGCUCCUAUUUCAUGGUAGGCUGAAGGAUGUUUACGAUUCCUUUUCGUGUAUUUAAAAUACAGCACUUGGGCUAAUCAAGAGGUUAUUAUAUUUCCCCCAUCAUUGUCAUUUAUACAUUGUAGUCCCUUGUGCUGUCUGUCUGUCUGUCUGUCUGUCUGUCUGUCUGUCUGUCUGUCUGUCUGUCUGUCUGUCUGUCUGUCUGU